AGCGAACGCUGGCGACAUGCUUAACACAUGCAAGUCGCACGGUCGGGGGUAACUUCGGCAGUGGCGGACGGGUGAGUAACGCGUAGGCAUCUAUCCUGGGGUGGGGGAUAACGGCGGGAAACUGCUGCUAAUACCGCAUGAAACCUGAGGGUCAAAGGCGCGAGUCGCCUUGGGAGGAGCCUGCGUCUGAUUAGCUAGUUGGUGGGGUAACUGCCUACCAAGGCGAUGAUCGGUAGCUGGUCUGAGAGGAUGAUCAGCCACACUGGGACUGAGACACGGCCCAGACUCCUACGGGAGGCAGCAGUGGGGAAUAUUGGACAAUGGGCGCAAGCCUGAUCCAGCAAUGCCGCGUGUGUGAAGAAGGUUUUCGGAUUGUAAAGCACUUUCGGCGGGGACGAUGAUGACGGUACUCGCAGAAGAAGCCCCGGCUAACUUCGUGC
rnacentral:rRNA from 1 species